rnacentral:rRNA from 1 species
UACAGAGACUCCAAGCGUUAUUCGGAUUCACUGGGCGUAAAGGGUGCGCAGGCGGCCAGGUGUGUCAGAGGUGAAAUACUGCAGCUUAACUGUAGAACUGCCUUUGAAACUACCUGGCUAGAGUAUCGGAGAGGCAAGCGGAAUUCCUGGUGUAGCAGUGAAAUGCGUAGAUAUCAGGAGGAACACCGAAAGCGAAGGCAGCUUGCUGGACGAUUACUGACGCUCAGGCACGAAAGCAUGGGGAGCGAAAGGGAUUAGAUACCCCCGUAGUCC